UACAGGGGGGGCAAGCGUUGUUCGGAAUUACUGGGCGUAAAGGGUUCGUAGGUGGCCACUUAAGUCAGACGUGAAAUCCCUCAGCUUAACUGGGGAACUGCGUCUGAUACUGAGUGGCUUGAGUGCAGGAGAGGAAUGCGGAAUUCCAGGUGUAGCGGUGAAAUGCGUAGAUAUCUGGAGGAACACCGGUGGCGAAGGCGGCAUUCUGGACCAUUUCUGACGCUCAGACGCGACAGCUAGGGUAGCAAACGGG
rnacentral:rRNA from 1 species